rnacentral:lncRNA from 1 species
AGGAAAACAAAAGUGAGGUUACUCCUUUGUUUUCUUUUUUUUUUUCCUUAUCAACUUAGAAAAUCAAAAUAAACCUUAAGAGAAAACAUGAGGUGGCACCUGGAGUACUAGUACUCGACUUCUUCUCCUUCUCUCGACAUCCACGAAUUCAUUAGAAGAGGAAGGGAAGAAAGAAUUUUUAUGAUAAUUUUGAAAUAAUCUUUGAAGGGUGUUUUCAAUAACCUAAAGUUGGAGUUGAAUUUUAAAAGGUAAAUUCUCUACCCCUUUCUUGAAUUUGACUAUAAAUAAGUAUCUUGGAGAUGUUUAAUUUGUAUCUUUGCACUACUACUUGAAUUGGGUUCGUGAAUGAAAAAGGGGGAAAAUGGAGAAUUUUGUUUAAAGAGGGGCUUUUGGGAAUUUCUAUAAAUUGAGUGGUUUAACAUGGAACUAUAUAAGUUGAAAAGUUAAAGGAUUCAUUUGGAAUGCUUAUUAAAGAAUUCGGUUGAUUUUGGGUAUGAUCGAUGAAUAUGGAACUAAACUAUUAAAUGUUCCUAUAAGUUACUAAUGAACGCAUAUGUUAUUCGUGCAGUUAGUGGAUUGCCUUUUUGAUAGUGAAACUUGGUGGUUGGAAAUAUAAAAACUAUACUCCCGCGUGUAGCGUCAUUUGGGGACCUGAAAUACCAUCCUACCUAGUGAAGUCUUUAGGCCAUAGUAUAUAUGUGGAUACCACAUGUAAGGAGUAAAAGUAAAUAGUAAUGGCAUAGUUGUAUUUGUAUAUGUUAUCUAGACGAUCAUUAUCAUAACUCAUAUGUCAUAGGCGUUUAAAGCAUUAUUUGGUAAACAUUAACGACGAGAGGAUACAUAGGUUUGGCUUGGCAUACCACUUGACGUGAUUCUGUGCACAAGAUCGAGAUCAGACCACUAUAGUGAGCCCAACCAUUGGACGUACCCGCCUUUGUGGCAUCAUUUACAUUUGGAGUCAGUUGGAACAUCAUGUAUUGGUUUUCCCUGACUCGAUCCAACAUAUGAAAUAUAUGGCCUGCGGGCAGACGCUCAUAGUGAGCCCCUAGAUGGGGCGUGCCUGGAUACAGACUGCGAUUACAGUUAUACAUGUGGGAUCAUAGCAAUGAGUAUGUGAGCAACAUAUGCUUUAUACUUGCCUUAGAUUGCCUUCGGAAGGCCAUCUUGUGAUCAUUUGUAUGAUUUAUAGGAUAAGUGCAUCGCUUAGACAAAGUAUUGGUUCUAUAUUAUAAUGAACGUUUUUCUAAAUAUUAUAUAUGAUGCUAAUAAAAUUGGUGCAUAAGUUAUUAGUUCAUAUUGUAUAGGUGUUAUUUGUUGGCCCAUACAUUUUUCACUUUACCACUUGACUCAUAUGAGCUUCUGUAUUUGUCUAGCCGUUAUUCUGUCUGCUUUUAACCCGGUACAUGUUGUUUAUGUACUGACGUCUUAGGCCUACUAUGUUUUAAUAAUGCAGGCUCCGAUCCUCCUGAUAGAAGACAUCCACGUUAGGCUCUCUUGCCGUUUUCAGUUGAUAUUUUGAUGAGCUCCAAUUCCCUCUGGACAGAUCUCUGGUUAGGCAUGACGGGCCUAAUGACAACUAGUCAUUUGUAGUAUAGUGUGUUAAACUGACUAGAGGCUUCAUGGAUAUCAUGUAGUAUUGUAUAGUUUCGUUAAUGUAAAUCUCCCGUGUACAUAUGCAAUGCUUAUCGAAUAUCCUACUCGUUAUUAUCUUAUAACCUCGCGUACGUCGUAAAGUACUUGUAGAGUAAGUGUAUACAGUUCUUGUUCGUCAUUACCAUUUUGGGGCUGACAAACUUGGUAUUAGAGCACCUAGGUUCAAGUGUCCUAGGAAGUCUAUGAAGCCAUGUCUAGUAGGACUUUACUUAUCUAUGUGUUGCGCACCACAUUUAUAAUUAAGGGACUACAUGGAUAUUUAAGAAUUUGACCUUUAUAUAUAAUCUAGAUCGUGCAGUAGAGUUAAGUUAUAGGAAGACUUCUGACUCAUAUUCUGUUUAUUUGUGAUACAGACUAUGUCUGCUACAGAAAAGGAUAAAGCAGCCAGCAGGUCGCUACUACACUACUCAGGAGGCAACCACUACCUGGCUAUCUCCUGUAUUGGUGGAUCUGAAUAGGACUCAAGGAAGUUUGUUUGGUUCUAUGCUUCCAGGUUCUCAAACUCCUGGAACGAAAGGACUUACAGGGGUUUAUGCACCUCCAGUGGUGCCAAUGGUACUUCCUAUCUCGCCACCAAGUGCCUCAAACCUAGAUCUUAAGGGAGCAAUAUAGUUGCUUACACAAUUGGUCGCCGCUUAGGCCCAAAGACAGAGUGUGGAUGUACCUAUUGCUACUCAAGGAGGGAUAGCUGAAUUUAGGAUCAAAGAUUUCCUUCGUAUGAACCCACCAGAAUUCACAGGUUCUAAGCUUGCGGAGGGUCCUUAACAAUUCAUUGAUAAGGCUUAUAGAGUUUGUAAGGUAAUGCGG